rnacentral:rRNA from 1 species
GAUGAACGCUGGCGGCGUGCCUAAUACAUGCAAGUCGAGCGAACAGACGAGGAGCUUGCUCCUCUGACGUUAGCGGCGGACGGGUGAUUAACACGUGGAUAACCUACCUAUAAGACUGGGUUAACUUCGGGAACCCGGAGCUAAUACCGGAUAAUAUAUUGAACCGCAUGGUUCAAUAGUGAAAGACGGUUUUGCUGUCACUUAUAGAUGGAUCCGCGCCGCAUUAGCUAGUUGGUAAGGUAACGGCUUACCAAGGCAACGAUGCGUAGCCGACCUGAGAGGGUGAUCGGCCACACUGGAACUGAGACACGGUCCAGACUCCUACGGGAGGCAGCAGUAGGGAAUCUUCCGCAAUGGGCGAAAGCCUGACGGAGCAACGCCGCGUGAGUGAUGAAGGUCUUCGGAUCGUAAAACUCUGUUAUUAGGGAAGAACAAAUGUGUAAGUAACUAUGCACGUCUUGACGGUACCUAAUCAGAAAGCCACGGCUAACUACGUG